UGAGGAAUAUUGCUCAAUGGGCGAAAGCCUGAAGCAGCAACGCCGCGUGCGCGAUGAAGGUCUUCGGAUCGUAAAGCGCUUUUGAGAGGGACGAGAUAGGACGGUACCUCUUGAAUAAGUCACGGCUAACUACGUGCCAGCAGCCGCGGUAAAACGUAGGUGGCAAGCGUUAUCCGGAUUCACUGGGCGUAAAGCGAGUGCAGGUGGUUGCGUAAGUUGGAUGUGAAAUUUCCCAGCCUAACUGGGAAGG
rnacentral:rRNA from 1 species